rnacentral:rRNA from 1 species
GUUCCCAUCUCGAACACAGAAGUUAAGCCUUUCAUCGCUGAUGGUACUUGGGGGGCAGCCCCCUGGGAGAGUAAGUCGUCGCCGGGU